rnacentral:ncRNA from 1 species
GCAGGGGAGACUUCAUUAAACAUUUAUGAACACUUGCUUCCCGCAAGAGGUGUCAGAAAAGGUACCACAGGGAUAACUGGCUUGUGGCAGCCAAGCGUUCUUAGCGACGUUUCUUUUUGAUCCUUCGAUGUCGGCUCUUCCUAUCAUUGCGAAGCAGAAUUCGCCAAGCGUUGGAUUGUUCACCCACCAACAGGGAACGUGAGCUGGGUUUAGACCGUCGUGAGACAGGUUAGUUUUACCCUGC